rnacentral:rRNA from 1 species
UACGGAGGGGGCUAGCGUUGUCCGGAAUCAUUGGGCGUAAAGCGCGUGUAGGCGGCCCGGUAAGUCCGCUGUGAAAGUCGGGGGCUCAACCUCGAAUGCCGGUGGAUACUGUCGGGCUAGAGUGCGGGAGAGGCGAGUGGAAUUCCUGGUGUAGCGGUGAAAUGCGCAGAUAUCAGGAGGAACACCAAUUGCGAAGGCAGCUCGCUGGAACGUAACUGACGCUGAGGCGCGAAAGCUAGGGGAGCAAACAGG